CAUGGAGAUUAGAUACGCUGUCAGAAAGUCUACCACAGUGUUUAAUACUAUUUGGCAACCUUUACUAACCUUUGCUGAGAACAUGGAAACUGACUGUCUGAUUAGCUCUGUUCCUCUCUCUCGUACCCAAAGGCAGCCUAGCAAGGUUGGAUAUUUCAGAUAUAAGGUAAACAUUCAUCUCGAUCACUUGUUAAAUACAUCCAAUACCAAAUAAUAAUGGCUGCACAUUUCAUGCAUCAAUAACAAAAUAACAGUUGCCUCAAUUUAUAUUCUGCUAAUUACUAAAUGUUUUUAUGCUCUUUGGCACAGAAGCUCGAGUAGCCAUUUACCCUUCAUGAUUGAUGGUCUUCAUUACACACCCAUUAAUGAGACCAUAUACAGACACGCACAACAAAGGUGGUGGCUUCAGAAAACAAGUGCAAGCACAUCUAGGUCUUCUGGCUUUAAGAUGUUGCUAUAGUUACUUCUGGUGCUAUAGUGUAAGGUGUUGUAGUCCUCUGGGGAAUACUGCUGUUCCUAUAGUUACUUCUGGUGCUGUAGUGUAAGGUGGUGUGGUCCUCUGGGGAAUACUGCUGUUGCUAUAGUUACUUCUGUUGCUGUAGUGUAAGGUGGUGUGGUCCUCUGGGGAAUAAAGCUGUUGCUAUAGUUUAAGGUGUUGUAGUCUUUUAAGUUAAUGUUGAUUAGGGCACUGCAUAAGUUAAAAUACUCUCUAAAGAGGCUUGUGGAAGGGCUGUCCCACGCUCUAGAGGACGCGUGGUCUGGAUACAGCUUGGCGCUGGCGCAGGUGCUGAGUGUGUUUGAGGAGAUUUCACUUAAAAGCACACUAGAUCAGAUCAAGGAGAAACACAACCUGCAGACAGCCAAGAAGAAACAGAUCUGAAAUGUUGCGUUUGGGAAUUUCUUUGGAGUGCUGGCCUUGUCUCAGUCCAUACGACUACACAAGGAGCCACAGGUGCUGUUGGAGUGUGUUAAGCUGUUACAGAGUCUGGCUCAGUACAGGGAUCACCUGAGAGACCUGCCCAGGAAGACCAUGGUGGACAUCCUGAGUGAGGUGACACUUCUCUGCUCAGCCCCUCUAUAACCACACCUCCUCCAUUCAGCCGGCGCAGUUCACGUUAAUCCCCUACU